UAUUGCUUUGAAGUAAGUAGCUAGAUAAUUUUUGUAGCUUUUUCUGUCUUGAGUAUUAGGUACCUCUUUGUGAAAAACAUUAAAAGUUAUUAAGCACCAGCACUGAUUGUUAUGAAAUAAUUAACCCCCACCUCCACAGAUGUUCUUACAAAACGUGUUAUUAAAUCUUUCUUAUCAAAACAAAAGCUUCAAUUAAUAACCUCGAUCAUAUGAAUAGUUUGUUUUUUUAAAAACAAGAUAACUGAGACAAGUGUAAUCUUGUUUUAUGUUUUGAUGAGUUUGUUAAGUUUAGUAUGGAGUAUAGCUAGCCAGCAGCUGCUUGUGUGAUAGUUGGGAAUUUUGUUUAAUUUUUAACUUUUACUUUCUUUAGGUCACAAGCCUCAGCCUUUUACCCUAUCAUUUUGACUGGUCUUGAUGCAAAUAAUUGUAUCUGUUGAGUGGCGCUCCAUUCACUUCAUGGUUUGUUGUUUGACAAUUGAUCAUUUAUUUUGAUUUCAAUGCUAGAUUCAUUCGUCCAUUGGUAUUACUUCUGUUUCUGCUUAUAUACAAGUGAAGAAGAAAGAAGAAAGAAGAAAAAUUGUUUGCCUGGUUAUUAGAUUAACCUCAAAUUUAUAAAAAACAUUAUUCUGGCAUAUACAAAACGUCGGAAGAUAGUAAAAAGACGGGAGUAGUUAUCGCAUUAUGUAUCAAAACUUUUAUUUGUAUUUUAUAUUAUUAUAUAGCCUUAGUAGCCGAAAAGCACUUGUUACCACCUCGAAAA